rnacentral:rRNA from 1 species
GAUGAACGCUGGCGGCGUGCCUAAUACAUGCAAGUCGAGCGAACGGACGAGAAGCUUGCUUCUCUGAUGUUAGCGGCGGACGGGUGAGUAACACGUGGAUAACCUACCUAUAAGACUGGGAUAACUUCGGGAAACCGGAGCUAAUACCGGAUGAUAUUUUGAACCGCAUGGUUCAAAAGUGAAAGACGGUCUUGCUGUCACUUAUAGAUGGAUCCGCGCUGCAUUAGCUAGUUGGUAAGGUAACGGCUUACCAAGGCAACGAUGCAUAGCCGACCUGAGAGGGUGAUCGGCCACACUGGAACUGAGACACGGUCCAGACUCCUACGGGAGGCAGCAGUAGGGAAUCAUCCGCAAUGGGCGAAAGCCUGACGGAGCAACGCCGCGUGAGUGAUGAAGGUCUUCGGAUCGUAAAACUCUGUUAUUAGGGAAGAACAUAUGUGUAAGUAACUGUGCACAUCUUGACGGUACCUAAUCAGAAAGCCACGGCUAACUACGUG